CCUACGUGAGGCAGCAGUGAGGAAUAUUGGUCAAUGGGCGCGAGCCUGAACCAGCCAAGUAGCGUGAAGGAUGACUGCCCUACGGGUUGUAAACUUCUUUUAUAAAGGAAUAAAGUGAGGCACGUGUGCCUUUUUGUAUGUACUUUAUGAAUAAGGAUCGGCUAACUCCGUGCCAGCAGCCGCGGUAAUACGGAGGAUCCGAGCGUUAUCCGGAUUUAUUGGGUUUAAAGGGAGCGUAGAUGGGUUGUUAAGUCAGUUGUGAAAGUUUGCGGCUCAACCGUAAGAUUGCAAUUGAUACUGGCAGUCUUGAGUACAGUUGAGGUAGGCGGAAUUCGUGGUGUAGCGGUGAAAUGCUUAGAUAUCACGAAGAACUCCGAUUGCGAAGGCAGCUUACUAAACUGCCACUGACAUUGAUGCUCGAAAGUGUGGGUAUCAAACAGGAUUAGAUACCCUUGUAGUC
rnacentral:rRNA from 1 species